UUACUGUAGCAUAACUAGGCUGAGGCAAGGACAGGCGCUAGCCCUUGGCACAAAUUUAGAGGGGGUAUGAGAACGGCAGCCCCUGGGGAACCAGCAUGCCAGCAGUUGCAGCCAGAGAGGAUGCAUGGAACCAGCCCAACCCAAGCAAGGCAGCAUGCAGGGACCUGGCCCUGGCAGCACAGCACAGCACAGCACAGCAGCAGCCAUGGUCAAAGCAGCGUACCAAGUUUGAGUGGUUCUGGCACUGAGGGCUCAGGGGCUGAUAUCCCAUAUUGUACAAAGCCUCAGUAAAACUGCUUCUUCAUAUCUUCAGGCAAUACAAUACCUAACAGCAGAGACUUCCUAUGCCUGAAGAAGGGUGACUGAGCCUGAAAGUUUGCAAAGAACACUACUCAGUUGGUCUAAUAAAAGAUAUCACAUCUACUCAAAGAACUUUGCCUGCCUAUUCCCCAAGAUGGCAUUCAUCCAGAACACCAAACCUACUUUUCCAGCUCUAAAACUACUUUUUGAAAAAUCAAAAGAAUCUAGGACUUGGAUUUUCUGUCCCAUCAGAAAUACAGCCCUUAGAGCACUGACAACUUGUGUUUUACUUUCCUUUUAAAAAAAAGCUGUAGGAAGAACUAUGGUUUCCCUUCUAGAUUAAAAGAAAAUGAGUAAUUAUG